rnacentral:lncRNA from 1 species
CUCUCUGUGUGCUUUAUCUGACUGUAGUAGGCUGAAUAAAGGCCUCCAAAGAUGUCCCCAUUCUAAGCCCUGGAACCUGUGAAUGUUACUUUACAUAGCAAAAGGGACUAUGCAGAUGUGACUAAGAAUCUUGAGAUAGGGAGAUUAUCCUGGGGAUUAUCCAGGUGGGCCCUAAAUGCAAUUUCAAGUGUCCUUAUAAGAGAGAUUGAGAAGGAAACUUCACCACAGAGCAGGAAAAAAAUCAGUGUGACCAUGGAAGCAGAGAUUGAAGUGAUGUGGUCACAAGGCAAGGAAUGCUGGCAGCCACCAGACACCAGAAGAGGUGAGGAACGGAUUCUCCCCCGAACCUCCAGAGGGAAGACAGCCCUACUGUCACCUUGAUUUUAGUCCAGUGAUGUUGAUUUCAGACUCUGGCCUCCAGAACUCACAGUGACCCAUGAUUUUCAAGAUGGUGGCUGCUUUGUCAGAUGAAUUCCGGAGUGACCACAAGCAGAGAUCUCCUAACGACCCAUGAUGGGUAGUGUGAGCAACUCGAGCUGAGCUUAUGCUCCCCGUCCACCACUGCUGAUCGCCACUAUCGCAGACCUGCCGCUGACUUCCACUCCUCCGAAUCUGGAAGGAUGUCUGCUGCACUUCUGAUCCAGAGAGGCACCCAAUGCUGCUCCCGAUCGGGCUAGAGGCUUG